rnacentral:tRNA from 1 species
CGGGCUAUAGCUCAGCUGGGAGAGCGCUUGCAUGGCAUGCAAGAGGUCGACGGUUCGAUCCCGUCUAGCUCCACCA